CAACCAGUGAACCAGAAUAGGGGAAACAUCAGUCAAAUAUUAGCUGAGGGGCCUCUUAAAGUAUUUUUUGUCACCUCACGCACAAAAAAUAGUUUUUUACUGUCCAUUGCAAUUGCAAAAAAACUUUAUGUAUUGUUUUUCUCAUUAUUUGUUCUUAUAAUAUUAUUUUGGAUACAGUGGAUAUUUAACAUAUUAAGACACCGAUCCGAGAUGCUUGAGCCGACCAUGCUUGAUAGGACUCAGGAUAAGAUGCUCUGAAUGUUUCAGACCCAGUUGGAUAAUGGAUUGUUUCUCCGAUAAUCGUAUUUUGUUCAUAUUCAUCAAACCUCUAGUUCGGGCCCAUUGGAGGAUUCCCCAGCUGUUUUUUCAAGGGGCUUCAUAGGGCAGUUCCACGUCGCAAGCCGCCCUUGUGUCAUGCUGAAACCGCCACAGAAGAAAUGGGAGUAGAGAACACAGAGGAAACUGCCAGGACUUCAGCAUGGUUCUCUUAUUUUGGCUGGUAUGAUGAAGAGCGAUCACUGAAGACUGGAGUUCCCCUGGUUGUUUUCCCUCCCAUCGACAGGCAUUGGAAUACGUAUCGGAAGAUGGAUCUGCUGGCAGCCUUUCCAGAGGUGUGCCAUGGACAGAGAGAGAGAGCAGAAGAUCCUGUGAGCAAUGAUAGGAGAGGCCUCAACGCACAGCGUUCAGACCAGCUCUGCCUCUCAUUGUUACCUUUAACAAGGUUUCUGGUUCACCUGUGCACCAUUAAUUAUUUUUGUAAUUUUUAUUUUUAUUAUUAUUAUGAUUAAAUAAAGUUGAUGUAUGUCUGUUCAGAAACACAGUAAAGAAUACUCAUAAUAUCACGAUAAUGUCUUUAUUAAAUGCUGUUUUUUUUCAUCAUUUUAGGUUGCAAUGCAUAGAUGAUAAGAAGUUGUUGCAAUGUAUGGAUAAUAAGAAAGCUUCUGUUAAAUAAAUAGUAAUUUUUCACACUAUAGUUUUAACUGUUUGUAGUAAUAAUUUAUUCUGUAUUUCAGUAAUGUAAAUUGUGGAAUACAGCAUUAUACUUGAAAUGCCCAAUCUGGGUAUUAUAUUUCAAAACUCUGA
ensembl:lncRNA